rnacentral:rRNA from 1 species
UACGUAGGGUGCGAGCGUUGUCCGGAAUUAUUGGGCGUAAAGGGCUCGUAGGCGGUUUGUCGCGUCGGGAGUGAAAACCCAGGGCUUAACUCUGGGCUUGCUUUCGAUACGGGCAGACUAGAGGCAUGCAGGGGAGAACGGAAUUCCUGGUGUAGCGGUGAAAUGCGCAGAUAUCAGGAGGAACACCGGUGGCGAAGGCGGUUCUCUGGGCCAUUACUGACGCUGAGGAGCGAAAGCGUGGGGAGCGAACAGG